ensembl:lncRNA
GGGAAUUCUCAGAGUAGAGACACCCAACAGCUACCCUGUUGGCUAAAUGCCUGACAUCCAGCAUGGGACCUCUACUGCCAGCAUCCACUUACUGGCAUCACAGGGGCUUGACUGAGAUCUGAAACUUGAGUUUUCUUCAUCAGGAUGAGAUCUAUUCAAAUGUAGGAGAGAGCUUCAGGUCACAUGGUCCAGCCCUGGAUAUCCAAGCUGUCUUGAAUUCGGUUUGGGGUCAAGACUACAGCCCAUGGGAUGGGUGCAAGUCCAGGCUCCACUCACAUCAUGAACCUGGAAGACUAUCAGGGUGGCCUGCCUGGAGCAACAGGAUGAGCUUGGACGUCAAGGUCAGCGGUGGUGCACGGGAACUCGCACCGCUCAGGGGAGCAGACUGUGCCCGUGUCUUCCCAACUCCAUGGUCAACGGCAUCAGGCGCUGCACAGAACACAGCAAGUGUGCCAUGCGCUCAGUUGUGACCAAGUCUUUGCAACUCCUCUGUCCAUGAAAUAUUCCAGCUUUGCAUAACUUCCAGAAGAAUGCAUGUUGGACGAGAGAAGCCACCAAGAGCUCCUGUGGUUCGGGUUUUACUGAAUGUGAUGCUUAGUGAGAAACUUCUCUGGGAAGAUAAGAUGAAGAGACCAAUUUAUAUGGGAAACAGGCAGUAAAAUGCCAUUAAGUCACAGCUGGUUUUUGCAGAAUGGCUGCCAGAUCAUCUGGGGUGAUCCAUUCUGCUCAGAAUGAAGAGUUCUGCCUCCUGCUUGGCUUGCUAUUCAACUUUCAGGCAGCAUCACUUCAAAACUAAUUGCCUUAGGAAGACAUCCUUUCACUGGGAGUCCUAUUGAUGUUAUUCUGGGGGAAGAAACUCAGCUCAAACUUGAUUUGAAUUAAUUGGACACUACAGAACUAUACUCCUCAACACCAAAGGCUCUGUCUGCAGAAGAGUUUUGCUUUUAAAAGCAUGGGCAAGGUACCACGGCUCACGCAACCUGAGGAUCACCCAGGUCCAGAUCUUCAUCCUGAGACCCACCUCAUGGAUCCAUU